rnacentral:misc_RNA from 1 species
CCCACAUAAAAAAAAAUACAAUUUCUCUAAUGUUCAAUACUAUUAUUAUAAAUUAUACAUAAAUAUUCUUUAUAAUGAAAACAUUAAUUUCUAUUUUGACCUAUGCAAUAUUAGAACAUUUUGACCAAUGCAAUAUUAAUUUCUUUCACUUGUUUGUUACCCAAGAAGUAUUUUCCUGAUAGGUUUGAAUCAUGGGACACCUGCCCUUACGAAGGAGGCGCAGGUACAACAGGUUAUGGUGUAGGGGAGUUCAUAGAAGUGAUAAAUGGGUAAGCCACUAUUGAAACAUCCAACAUAAGCAAAACUUUAUCCUGACUCUCUCACCCGCCUCCUCAAAUUCCUCCUCUCUAUCUGCAGUCUCUUCUCACUUCACAUCACCCUUUUCAGAACCAGCAGCCACUGCAACAUUUUGCACCUAUAGCCAUGGGGCAUAAGUUGUAGUUAAGAACACAAACAUUUGUGGCUAAAUGUUCUAGCCGCAAAGUAAAAUUUCUGGAGAAAUACAGCUGUUAAGACAACCGUAAUAUAGUUAGUGUCCUGGAGUAGGACUUCAAAAUAUAUCCUCUUUCAGCAACAAAAGAAGGAUGGUGGAAAGCAAAUGGCAAGACCAUUAUAGUUUAGCCAUCCCCCCACACUUCCAUUUCUCCCACACCGCCUUUCAAGCUUCAGUUCAAUCUUUCAGAUUGAGCCUCACAUUCUGAAUCUUCACAGAUAUCUUUAACUUCUGUUCCUCCAUAUCUUUCAAAACAGCUAAUAAUUUUGAUAGAUAUGCUUCACAUUGUUGACUUGCAUGCUUCAAUUCAUCAGUCAAUUCCUGAAUUUUCUUGUCCUGAUCCAGACAGCACGGCUGCAGCUGCUGACUGCCAUUAACCAAAGUAUUCUGUAUAGGCACAAGACCUUGUUUCUUUGCAGCAGCAACCUUCCUUGUGGCCUCAUGGAGAGCAUUCAUUGCCACAUUAUAAAUAUGCGUUGAUUCUGCACCUUCUUCUAUAUAUUUGAGGGCUUUCUGGCUUAGUUUGUCACAGCGAACAGCAAAGGACUCUUGAGAAUUACUAGGAAGCCCAAGAGCAUGCUCAUCCAAUACAACCUGACUUUUGGCAUUUCUUGUCCACCGUUUCAAGAUAUAGUAAGAUGGAAGUGUCAGAACAUUGGUUACCCUAAAAACUGCUAAUAUGUGCCUACAAAUAAUACCUGAAAACUCAAACAUUUGGCAACUACAGCUAGCUCUCUUCUCAAAAACCUGGAACCUAACAAAGUGAGCUUUAUGGUCUUCCCCAAACUUUGCCACCCUAUAUGUAAUUGUUGAUCCCAUAUCAUCAAUUACAGUUGCAGGAUAAGCAAGUGUCUCAACCAAUUCCUCUUGGAAUUUCAUAAAUAUCUUCCUUGUAUAAAGGUUUGCUGCUUGUUUUUCCAUAGGAGAUGGAGUUUUUAAAACUGGAGGAGCAUUCAUUGUAUCAUAAUCUGCCUUUACUUCCUUUUCAUAGCGAUUUGUAAUUGCUUUUUCAUGCUGCUUAAUCAGUACCUGAAUAUUAGUUGAUGCAUUAAUAUACCCAUCAAAGUAAGAAUUAAUACUAUCACUUCCUUGCAUUGUGGACAUCUCACCAAAGAAUGUAUCCAUGAGAUAAACAGGCACCCACUGCUGGCGAGCAUUGUACAUGGACUGAAGCCAUUCACUAUUACCAAGAUCAUACCUUUCAACAAGUGACUCCCAACAUGACUCAAACUCAUCAACUGUCUCAGUCAUGUUGAUGCAUCUUUGGAACUCCACUUCAAAAGCAGGGUGUGAGUGAUAUACAUCAGACAAUUUCUCCUGGGCCUCCCUAAAGAUGUUCCAUUUACAAAAUCGGUGGCGGGUUCCCGGAAACACCUGUGAAACAGCUGCCCGUAUGAUUCUGUCCUGGUCUGUUGUGAUUGAGAUGGGAUGGCGGCCUGACAUUGCAGCAAGCCAAGUCUCAAAUAGCCAAACAAAAGACGACUCUGACUCAUUGAGCAGCAAUGCACAUCCAAACAGUACUGGCUGUCCAUGAUGGUUCCACCCAGUAAAAGGUGCAAAAGGAACUCGGUAACGGUUUGUUCUAUAUGUUGUAUCAAAUGUGACAGUGUCCCCAAAGCAAGUGUAAUUCAUUCUCGAAUUUGCAUCAGCCCAGAAAAUGUUUCCUGUUGAGUUAUCAAAAUCACCUUGAACAGCACAGAAGAAACCAGAAUCUUCAGCUUGCAUUUGUUUCAAAUAGUAAAAGACAACCUGACCUCCACUGCCAAGUGUCCUCUGCCUACUACUACUCAUAUAAUUCUGGCAAUCAACUUUAGUAAAACCGACAUUAUUGAUUCCACCAGAUUCCUUAAUCAGCACAGACAUGACUCCACUUGGCCCCAUCCCUGCAGCCUGAAGUGUAUCAAUGAGACUUCGUGCAGGACCAGACACGUGCCUGUGUGAACGAAGGCAAUGAACCUUAUCAGGGGGCACAAGAUCAUGAUUAUGUUCUUUAAUGAGUUUAGUCACAGCCCACUUUCCACAACUCUGUUUCUUAACCGUCAUCUGAGCUUUACACCCAACUCUAGUGAUGGUGCGUUGCCUUUUAGACCUAUUCUCAUUGCCCUCACGACGAAACCCUUCACGAGAACACACAAUUUGGCGGCAAAUGAUAGACCCAUCGCGACGAGACCGCUGGUAAACACUGACCCUAGUACUAAAACCAAUCCGGCGGGCAUAGGAAUUGUAGAAAAUGCGAGCAGCCUGUUCAGAAUCAAAUUCCAUACCCUCAAAGGGCUCAAGAUUAGGGUCCCAAUUUGAAGUUGAGGAAGCCGUGGAAGGACCUUCCAACAAAUCCUGAUUAUUACUAUUAUUAUUGCUGUUGUAUUCGAGAUGAAAAUCAUCUGGGCGUUCAAGGUCAGGGGCAGCAACGUUAUCUUCGCGACCAGAACCACCCACAUCAUCAAACUCCAUCACAUUCAGUGACUCGAUAUCCAUGACUAAUGGGAAUUGAUUAUACAAUCUCUAAUUCUUACAUUAUAAUUCCAAAUGUGAAGGAUAAGGGACUAAGUGUGAAGUAAGGCUACAAGGGAGAGUAAGAGAAACAGUAACUGACCAGAGAUUAGCUAGUCGUACAGUCACUAGUGAUGAUUGAGUAAGCUUGGGCGAGCUCGACAGAUCAAAACCAGGUGCAAAGGCUUUUAGUAUAAUCUGCUUGCUUGCAAUCUGUCAUCCAAAGCAACUAUGGGGCGUUUUUGCUUGUUGAGGUACAUGCAAGCUAGAGAGAGAGAGAGAGAAAUAGGAGGGAAUUUGGGGUUUUGAGGGUUUUCAGUUUGGGGAGAUUGUAAAGCACAGAGAGAUGGAAA